UCUGGUUGAUCCUGCCAGUAGUCAUAUGCUUGUCUUAAAGAUUAAGCCAUGCAUGUCUAAGUAUAAACACUUUGUACUUGUGAAACUGCGAAUGGCUCAUUAAAUCAGUUAUAAUUUAUUUGAUGGUCUUUUACUACUUGGAUAACCGUGGUAAAUCUAGAGCUAAUACAUGCACAAAAUCCUAACUGCUCUCGGGUAGGAGGGAUGUAUUUAUUAGAUUCAAAAGCCAAUGCCUUCUUUCGGGGAGGAAAUUUUUAUAUGGUGAAUCAUGAUAACUUUACGAAUCGCAUGGUCUUGUACCGGCGAUAGUUCAUUCAAAUAUCUGCCCUAUCAACUUUCGAUGGUAGUAUAGAGGACUACCAUGGUGGUAACGGGUAACGGAGAAUCAGGGUUUGAUUCCGGAGAAGGAGCCUGAGAAACGGCUACUACUUCCAAGGAAGGCAGCAGGCGCGCAAAUUACCCAAUCCCGACACGGGGAGGUAGUGACAAAAAAUAACAAUACCGGUCUUAUUUAAGUCUGGUAAUUGAAAUGAGUACAAUCUAAAACCUUUAACGAGUAUCAAUUGGAGGGCAAGUCUGGUGCCAGCAGCCGCGGUAAUUCCAGCUCCAAUAGCAUAUAUUAAAGUUGUUGCAGUUAAAAAGCUCGUAGUUGGAUUUUGAUGUAACAUAUGAUGACCCGCCUGUAUAGGUGUGUUGUUGUUAUAUGUUCAUCUCCUUACUAGACUUUCACGAAUUUCAUUUGUUUGGAGUUCGUUGUAUUCUGAUUCGUCGGGGUGCGUGGUAGAAGGACCUAUUGGGUUCGAGAUUGUGGAUGAAUCUCUUCGGAGGUUGGUUCUGCUUGGAUUCAGUAACCUUUUACUAGAAAUCUAGUUCAUUUACUUUGAGUAAAUUAGAGUGUUCAAGGCAAGCAAAUUUGUUUCUGCAAUGAAUACUAUUAGCAUGGGAUAAUGGAACAGGACACGUAUUCUAGUUUUCCGUUGGUUUCUAGAAUUUUUGUACCCUUCGGGGUGCGUAGUGCAAUGAUUAAAAGGGACAGUUGGGGGCAUUCGUAUUUCAUUGUCAGAGGUGAAAUUCUUGGAUUUAUGAAAGACGAACUUCUGCGAAAGCAUUUGUCAAAGAUGUUUUCAUUAAUCAAGAACGAAAGUUAGGGGAUCGAAGACGAUCAGAUACCGUCGUAGUCUUAACCAUAAACUAUGCCGACCAGGGAUUGGAAGAUGUCUUAUCCAGUGUUACCCGCUUGAAAACUCCUUCAGUACCUUACGAGAAAUCAUAAGUCUUUGGGUUCUGGGGGGAGUAUGGUCGCAAGGCUGAAACUUAAAGGAAUUGACGGAAGGGCACCACCAGGAGUGGAGCCUGCGGCUUAAUUUGACCCAACACGGGAAAACUCACCAGGUCCAGACACAGUUAGGAUUGACAGAUUGAGAGCUCUUUCUUGAUUCUGUGGGUGGUGGUGCAUGGCCGUUCUUAGUUGGUGGAGUGAUUUGUCUGGUUA
rnacentral:rRNA from 1 species